GUCUGCUCAGUGCUUUGCUUUCAGUGUAGCCCAUAAGAAACAUGCUGAGCAGCAAGAACACAUAACUUAAGGGACAAUUCUCAGGUGGCAGCAUGAACCCUGCGAGAUCAUUAGGUCCAGCCUUGGUUACAGGGAUUUGGGAAUAUCACUGGGUGUAUUGGAUUGGUCCUGUGCUGGGGGCAUUCCUGGCUGGUGCUUCUUAUGAGUUCUUCUUUGCUUCUAGUGCCUCACGAGAGAAGCUAGUAGCCUGUCUCAGUUGUAAAGACAUUGAGAUAGUGGAAACAGCAAGUGUGUCCCGUUCCUCUCUCUCUACUGCAGCACAGACAGCAGCACGCACAAGACAGUCUGAACACAAACAAGACAACAAUUAGCAAACAAGGACCCUGUACCUUGUGCCAAGAGAACUUUUCAAUCCCUGGAUAGAAGAUGGAAUAUUAUAAACCAUUCAAUACUUCCAAUGGAUACUUUAUUAUUUCAGUACAUGCUAUAUUACACUAAUAUGUUAUCUUUUCUUUUUUUUAAAUAAAACAAAAACUUUAGUAUUUUUAAGAA